AUGCCUACAGUCCUGGAUCCAGUAAUAAGUCUAUUAGUCGAGACUAUAAGAACAGUGUCUUUCAGUCCCUUGGGGUAUGACCCUCACAGGAAGAAAAGUCAUUGUCAGAAUCUACCAAUUGGAGACUACCUACGACGUGAGCCCACAGCAAGUCUUCACCCACUACAUUUGCAGCAAGAUGCCUUCACUCUGUCAGUGUUCCACAUUUCUGUAAUCCGAUCCUCACCCUAAAUAUCAUUUAGAGUUACUCAAGUCUGAAUGACAGUCCUAAUCCACGAGUAGGUAAGGCUGAACUCAAGCUCAAGGCUUCCCUUAUCCCUUAGUCCAGAAAUGAAGUUUGGUGACACUUUCAGAAGAGCCUGUGCUUUAUCUAGGCCAUCAAGUCAGCCGCAAAACCAUGCAAGUUAAUUGGAAACAUUAAACUGAGAAGGAUUCUUAAUCAAGCCAUGACCGCUAUUAGUAACUGGGUACUGGGGAAAAAGGUGGAUAAUAGUGGAUAAUAUUUUUUUUUUUACUAUACAUAAUGAUUGUCUUAAAUUUGCACAUUAGACAAAUCCUCAAACAGUGCACAGGGCCACCAGCAAUCCUGAUCUGAGGUUCAGCAGUUGCACAAAUACGCACACAGCUUAUGUGAACCAGAAAAAUGAAACCUGUCCAAGAUCCUAAAAGCUCCCAAACCAACAUGAGGCUUUAAUGUGAGCAACUGUAAGAUGAUUUAUUUUUUCAGAUCAAAUACACAAAGUUCUGGAUGUAAUUCUGUUAAGCAGUUUUACAUCUUGCCACUAGGACUUUUUUUCCCUCUAUGCUAAGCUUUAAUAUCCUUUCAAAUGCAUUAAUGUGUCCCUGGAACAGAUGCUUAGAGACUCCUGCAUGCUUUGAAUAUUUCCACUUUAAAAACGGUAUUCAAUACUUACUGAGACUUUAUGUACCACCUCUCUGGCACCAGAGCUUGUAAAACACUAAGAGAAAUGGCUCUUUGCCCAAAAAAAAUAUGUCCAAGGAGCAAAAUCUUGCUUCAAAUCAUCCCACAACCAAAACAAAACAAAACCAAAAAAGUGGGACUAUAUAUACCACCUC
rnacentral:lncRNA from 1 species